GUCGGCUUCCGCGGAAAGGUCGGAGACGUCCGCUGUAGAGCCCCCCCAGGCUCGUGAAGAUCCUUGAUAGAGAGGGGGGGGGGUGGCUAGAGAAAUAACUGCCAAAGCAGCAG
rnacentral:ribozyme from 11 species